rnacentral:rRNA from 1 species
GAUGAACGCUGGCGGCGUGCCUAAUACAUGCAAGUCGAGCGAACAGACGAGGAGCUUGCUCCUCUGACGUUAGCGGCGGACGGGUGAGUAACACGUGGAUAACCUACCUAUAAGACUGGGAUAACUUCGGGAAACCGGAGCUAAUACCGGAUAAUAUAUUGAACCGCAUGGUUCAAUAGUGAAAGACGGUUUGUCGUUCAUUUAUAAAUGGAUCCCCGCGGCAUUAGCUAGUUGGUAAGGUAACGGCUUACCAAGGCACCGUUGGGUAGCGAACCUGAGAGGGUGGACGGCCACCCUGGAACUGAGACACGGUCCCGACCCCUAAGGGAGGCAGCAGUAGGGAAUCUUCCGCAAUGGGGGAAAGCGUGACGGAGCAACGCCGCGUGAGUGAUGAAGGUCCUCGGAUCGUAAAACUCUGUUAUUAGGGAAGAACAAAUGUGUAAGUAACUAUGCCCGUCUUGACGGUACCUACUCAGAAAGCCACGGCUAACUACGUG